rnacentral:lncRNA from 1 species
AAGAAAGCCGGGCGUGGUGGCACAUGCCUAUAAUCCCAGCACUCGGGAGGCUGAGGCAGGAGGAUCGUUGUGAGUUUGAGGCCAGCCUGGGCUACAAAGUGAGCUCAAGGCCAGCCUGAACUGCAUACUGAGACCCUGUCUCAAAAAGACAAAAAAAAGAAAAAAAAAGAAAAAAAAGAAAAAAAAGGGGGGGAUGAGGAAAUAGCAUCUACUUUCUUUGGCCUCAGCAGCUUGUCACUUUGUUUUCCAGACUCUAAACUAUAAAAAAGAAAUAAAAAUAGUGAUGAGAAUGUUUUGCUGCUUCCUUAAUGAACCCACCUGCUGGCUACUGGCUGAAAUUCCUUUAAAGAGGCACAAAUACCUUCAUUCUGCAGUGAUUAAACAAACAGAAAGGUCUGAAUUAGAGAUGCUUUAAAGCCCUCCAAAGAGAUGGAAGAGCGUGUCUUGUUCUCACAGUGAAGUGGCCAUGUUGGUCCCGGUCCUCUACACUGCAGUGAAGGGGCAAGGAGUAAGAAGUAGGAGGUACAAUGUUGGGGUGAAGGCCAAAGAUGAGGUCAUGGGUGGAGAUGGGGAGGCACACAGGAGGAAGGCAUGCGGCAUGUGGACACCAAGGAGAUCUAAGGAGCAUGGAGAGCCUGCCCAGGAAGAAAGGACAAGCUAUUGCUAGAUUUCCUAGCUGUAUCCCUCAGAUGUUGCAGGCCUGAAAGAGAAGACAUUGGCUUAUUCAUCAUUUUAUGGCCCAAAGUUUUUAACUGGUAAGUGGUCCAUCAAUAUACUCAAGGAGGUGAUUGG